rnacentral:tRNA from 3 species
GCUCCCAUUGUCUAGUGGUUAGGACGUAAGGUUUUGAUCCUUAAUGCCCAGGUUCGAACCCUGGUGGGAGCU